rnacentral:rRNA from 1 species
UCGAACGAGAAAGUCCGCAAGGAUGAGUAAAGUAGCGUACGGGUGAGUAACACGUGGAUAAUCUACCCUCUUGUGGGGAGUACCGUUGGGAAACCGACGACAAUACCGCAUAAGCUCGAGAGAGGAAAGCAGCAAUGCGCUGGAGGAGGAGUCCGCGGCUGAUUAGCUAGUUGGUGAGGUAAUGGCUCACCAAGGCUCAGAUCAGUAGCCGGCCUGAGAGGGCACACGGCCACACUGGCACUGAAACACGGGCCAGACUCCUACGGGAGGCAGCAGUGGGGAAUCUUGCACAAUGGGGGAAACCCUGAUGCAGCAACGCCGCGUGAGCGAUGAAGCCCUUCGGGGUGUAAAGCUCUUUCGGCAGGGAAGAUGAUGACGGUACCUGCAGAAGCAGCUGCGGCUAACUACGUGCCAGCAGCCGCGGUAAUACGUAGGCAGCAAGCGUUGUUCGGAGUUACUGGGCGUAAAGGGUGUGUAGGCGGUUGGAUAAGUGUGGUGUGAAAUCUCCCGGCUCAACUGGGAGGGUGCGCUACAAACUGUCUGACUAGAGUGUGGGAUGGGAAAGUGGAACUCCUGGUGUAGCGGUGAAAUGCGUAGAUAUCAGGAGGAACACCGGUGGUGUAGACGGCUUUCUGGACCAUAACUGACGCUGAGACACGAAAGCGUGGGUAGCAAACAGGAUUAGAUACCCUGGUAGUCCACGCCCUAAACGAUGCAUAUUUGGUGUGGGUCAUUCAUUUGAUCCGUGCCGGAGCUAACGCGUUAAAUAUGCCGCCUGGGGAGUACAGUCGC